CCAAUAGCGUAUAUUAAAGUUGUUGCAGUUAAAAAGCUCGUAGUUGAAUUUCGGGAUCAAUACGUCGGUCGUGCCUCUGGUAUGUACUGGUGUUAUUGAUUCCUCCUUUCUGAUGAACCAUGAUGUCAUUAAUUUGGUGUUGUGGGAAGUCAGGACUGUUACUUUGAAAAAAUUAGAGUGUUUAAAGCAGGCCUACGCUUGAAUACAUUAGCAUGGAAUAAUGAAAUAGGACGUUCGAACCUAUUUUGUUGGUUUCUAGGAUCAACGUAAUGAUUAAUAGGGAUAGUUGGGGGCAUUAGUAUUCAAUUGUCAGAGGUGAAAUUCUUGGAUUUAUUGAAGACUGACUACUGCGAAAGCAUUUGCCAAGGAUGUUUUCAUUAAUCAAGAACGAAAGUUAGGGGAUCGAAGACGAUCAGAUACCGCCGUAGUCUUAACCAUAAACUAUGCCGACUAGGGAUCGGAUGAUGUUAAUUUUUUAAUGACUCAUUCGGCGCCUUACG
rnacentral:rRNA from 1 species